rnacentral:rRNA from 1 species
UACGAAGGGGGCUAGCGUUGCUCGGAAUUACUGGGCGUAAAGGGCGCGUAGGCGGACAGUUAAGUCAGAGGUGAAAGCCCAGGGCUCAACCUUGGAAUUGCCUUUGAUACUGGCUGUCUUGAGUGCGGGAGAGGUGUGUGGAACUCCGAGUGUAGAGGUGAAAUUCGUAGAUAUUCGGAAGAACACCAGUGGCGAAGGCGACACACUGGCCCGUAACUGACGCUGAGGCGCGAAAGCGUGGGGAGCAAACAGG